rnacentral:tRNA from 1 species
UCUAAUAUGGCAGAUUAGUGCAAUGGAUUUAAGCCCCAUAUAUAAAGUUUACACUUUUCUUAGAA